rnacentral:antisense_RNA from 1 species
GGUAUCCAAAAAUAAUUCCUGGAUCUGUAGUUGGUGUAAUCAAGCGAACUUCACCACCGCCUGGAGCCCAUGUGUCAUAAAGACCGCCAAGGAAUUGCCAGUUGACAGCAAAAGCUACUGCACCUAGCCCAAGAACACAUAAAUGACGACCAAGGAUGGUUGUCAUUUGGUCCUUAUCUCGCCA